AUGACCUCCUCUCCAACUCACCCGUAUCACCCCGUACCCUGCAGGCCUUCCCCGAAGGCCCUCCCACAGCUCUCCACCUUCACCAGGGGCUCUCAGCUAGUCACUGGCGGGCUACUGUUGGUGGAUACGGUAUCUAUGGAUGGCAGGCCCUGGAAAACAUGUCUGAAUGAGACAGAUUGGGAGAGGAUGAUGCGAGAGAGAAAAAAAAAGAAAGGAACGAGAAUGACAAAGAUUUAGGAUAUACCGGCAGUCGAGACUGGAUCACCCGAGUGAAACCACCUGGUGUGUCGCCCUCCCUUUCUACCCCCUUUUCCUCCCAUAUAUGCACUCAGUGACCAUCUCUGUCCCUGGCUGCACGCCAGGUCACCUUGGCAACACCACCCCAUUAGAAUGCCACAGUUCGGGUGGUUUCCACUCCAUUUCAGUUUGCUGCAGAAAACGGCAACUUCCACUCAAGACAGCCUCAAUCAAGGGGUCUGCGUGCAGUCUGCAGGUCCAGGGGCCUUGAAGGGAGCUGAGGUUCAAUCCAAAUGAAUGGAGGCAUUAUGGAGGCCAGGCCAUCAACAACUCUUCUCCACCACUCCCUGUUUUGAUCAAAAUCUCACAAGACUGUAGAUGAAUCUGGAUGCACAUCAAACUGCUUGUGUCUAUUAUGCACUUAUCACUGUGGGUGCAGCUCCACUCUCGUUUUGGCGCUGAAAGGUCCCACGGUGUCAUAUUGGAGCAGACUGCUGGAUGAUGUUGGGGAGUUAUGGCAGGACCCCUCCUCUUCUUUCAUCACCGUCUGUGUCAUCGCCCUCUCCUCCCAUCCGUAAAGGAACCAGUAGAAGGAUGGUUUAAAGGCACACACAUACACGUUAUGGACCAUGGGGAGAAAAGUGCCUGUUGUCAUCUGGUGGACCAGAGGCAAUGAGACUGUGUGUGUGGUACAAGCAUUUUGAGUAUUUGCAUGCUUUGAAUGACUCACUGAGUGAGAGUUUGCAGUAUUUCAGCUGCCUUUGACUACUUCAAUACAUUUAGCCUUGAAGGAUCAUCUACUUGCAUGCUAUGCUAAUCAUCAUAAAACAUGAACGUCUUUAUUAAAUAUUUCCCCACA